rfam:Aedes albopictus isolate Foshan contig76502, whole genome shotgun sequence.
GUUAGCCUAGUGGUUAAGGCUAUGGAUUGCCAAUUCGGAGAUGGCGGGUUCGAAUUCCGUAC